GGGGAGAAAGCGCGCGCAGCGCCCGCAUGGGCCGAGCGGGAGUGGGCCGGCCUGCGGGCUGAUUUCCCGGCCGCUCGCUGCGCAGUGUUUUUCUUUUUCUUUUUAUGCAGUUUUUGCUUUAUAUUUGAAUUUGUGUAAUAAAUCUUGUGUUGAUCCAAAAUUCAUGGAAAUUUUUGUAUAGAUUCCCUGAAAUAAGUAGAACCCAAGAAAAAUAUUAGAUUUUAUUUUUUGAUAGUUUACAUG
rnacentral:lncRNA from 1 species